UACGGAGGAUCCAAGCGUUAUCCGGAUUUAUUGGGUUUAAAGGGUGCGUAGGUGGAUCAUUAAGUCAGCGGUGAAAUCCUAGAGCUUAACUCUAGAACUGCCAUUGAUACUGAUGAUCUUGAGUACAGUUGAGGCGGGCGGAAUGUGUCAUGUAGCGGUGAAAUGCUUAGAUAUGACACAGAACACCGAUUGCGAAGGCAGCUCGCUAAACUGAAACUGACACUGAGGCACGAAAGCGUGGGGAGCAAACAGG
rnacentral:rRNA from 1 species